UACGAAGGGGGCUAGCGUUGCUCGGAAUCACUGGGCGUAAAGCGCACGUAGGCGGAUUGCUAAGUCAGGGGUGAAAUCCUGGAGCUCAACUCCAGAACUGCCUUUGAUACUGGCAACCUUGAGUCCGGGAGAGGUGAGUGGAACUGCGAGUGUAGAGGUGAAAUUCGUAGAUAUUCGGAAGAACACCAGUGGCGAAGGCGACUCACUGGCCCGUUACUGACGCUGAGGCGCGAAAGCGUGGGGAGCAAACAGG
rnacentral:rRNA from 1 species